rnacentral:rRNA from 1 species
CGAAGACCCCAACGAACUCUUGUACCUUGCAGUCUGAGCGAUAAGCAUAAAUUAUUAAAACUUUCAACAACGGAUCUCUUGGUUCCGGCAUCGAUGAAGAACGCAGCGAAAUGCGAUAAGUAAUGUGAAUUGCAGAAUUCAGUGAAUCAUCGAGUCUUUGAACGCACAUUGCGCCCCCUGGUAUUCCGGGGGGCAUGCCUGUCCGAGCGUCAUUACUGCCCUCAAGCCCGGCUUGUGUGUUGGGCGCCGC